rnacentral:lncRNA from 1 species
UGAUUCUCCUUGUCCACAAAAUCCAUCAAAUGCUUCGCUGCCAAGAUAUGCAGCAAAAGCGAUCAAACGAAAAUAUCGUUCCAAGUACUCAGCACCACGAUUUAGUGCUACUCUUCUUUCUCUAGGCUCAAUAUGCUGCUGAUUACACAACUUUCUGUAUUGCAAGACCGCUUGGCGUAUGUUCUGCAGAGCUGAACAUCGAUCAAUAAUAGCAUCUAAGGCCUCUCGGCAUUCCACCCCAUUAUCAAACAAUCUUGUUAUUUUCCA